rnacentral:rRNA from 1 species
UUCGGAAUCACUGGGCUUACAGGGUGCGUAGGCGGCUUGUUAAGUAGGGUGUGAAAGCCCCCGGCUCAACCGGGGAAUGGCGCCCUAAACUGGCGAGCUAGAGUGAGAUAGGGGUGUGUGGAACUUCCGGUGGAGCGGUGAAAUGUGUUGAUAUCGGAAGGAACGCCGGUGGCGAAAGCGACACACUGGAUCUUGUCUGACGCUGAGGCACGAAAGCCAGGGGAGCGAACGGG